CGUCACCCUACGGAAAAUGUAUAUAUAAGCCACAUCCAGCGAUUAUGAGACAUAGACCAGUUCCGACCUGCAAGAAAGAGGCACGAGCUAACUCAACAUGAAGGUGCUGGCGAUCCUGUUUGCUCUGUGUACAUUGGCAGCCCUGACAUUGGCUGACCCCCAGUGUCCUGCCCACGACGGAGCCACGCCCAAAUACUUCCCUGACGAGUCGGACCCGAACGGCUUCUGGGAGUGCAGCAAUGGCGUAGCCAUUCACGAGAACUGUGCUCCUGGACUCGUUUGGAACAGCAACAUCAACGCCUGUGACUGGCCUUAGGGGAAUAACUGCAACACCUGAACUGUCUGCUUGCAUGUUCUAUUUGCUGAAUACGUCGUGUAAGUUUGUGCAACAUGUCAAACGAAGACACUUCAAGGCGAACCUGAAUGUUUACAGACACUAAUGUUACAUAAACCAACAGCAA